rnacentral:rRNA from 1 species
UACGUAGGUGGCGAGCGUUGUCCGGAUUUACUGGGCGUAAAGCGCGCGCAGGCGGUCCGGUAAGUCUCCGGUGAAAUCGCCCGGCUCAACUGGGCGGGUGCCGGGGAGACUGGCGGACUUGAGGAGCCUAGAGUCCGGAAGAGGAGUGUGGAAUUCCCGGUGUAGCGGUGAAAUGCGCAGAUAUCGGGAAGAACACCCGUGGCGAAGGCGGCACUCUGGGACGGUACUGACGCUGAGACGCGAAAGCGUGGGGAGCGAACAGG